rnacentral:rRNA from 1 species
GGGUUAGUAGGUUGGUCAUGCCUCUGGUAUGUACUGGUCUCACUGAUUCCUCCUUCCUGAUGAGCCGUAAUGCCAUUAAUUUGGUGUUGCGGGGAAUUUGGACUGUUACUUUUUGAAAAAUUAAGAGUGUUUAAAGCAAGCUAACGCUUGAAUACAUUAGCAUGGAAUAAUGAAAUAGGACGUUCGAUCCUAUUUUGUUGGUUUCUUAGGAUUGACGUAAUG